GGGGCUGGGCGGGGUCUCAGCUCCCGACAAGGCUGUGAGGCCAUCUUGGGCACGUGGCCCUGGACUGUCCCAGGGGAAGCCCGCUCUCCACUUCCCCCAAUCCCUCCCCAAGCCAAGCCCAGCAGCCAGGAGCCAUUAGGGGUUAGAGGAAGACUACAGAAAAGGCCAAAGGUGCAUCUGGUAGUUUGCCUUGCGAGCCCACACGGGUGGGUGAAGAAAUUCACUGGGUACUGUGCUGAGGGCAAAAAGUCAGGAGUUUUUAAGUUCUAGAAAAGAGGAGUUUAUGUUGGUUGUGCCCUUUAAACAGUAAAGGGUCCUCUGGAUAGGUAGGGCCGCGUCCACGGCUCUGCUCACACUUGGAUACUCAGUCUCAUUCCUCACUGGUCAGCAGGAGCUUUCUGUUCGGUCCAGUUAGGGUCUGGGGCGCCUGGGUCCCACAAACCAGAUGGCCAUAGGGACGUCCGGAUUCAACCUGCCCCGAUUCAGCAGCUGUGGUGAAAAUAACAUCCAGUCGCGUUUUCUCCCAGGUUCUACUCUGAGUGGGCCCCACUCGCCAAGUACACACUGAAGCCUCACCAUUGUGCCCCCGUCAAAGCCCUGCUUUCCUCCAUGGGAGCUGGCCCUUCAGGACCUCUCAGCUGUGCUCCUGUGGGGUCUGGCAG
rnacentral:lncRNA from 1 species